rnacentral:rRNA from 1 species
CGGACGGGUGAGUAAUGUAUGGGGAUCUGCCUGAUGGCGGGGGAUAACUACUGGAAACGGUAGCUAAUACCGCAUAAUGUCUACGGACCAAAGCGGGGGACCUCCGGGCCUCGCGCCAUCAGAUGAACCCAUAUGGGAUUAGCUAGUAGGUAAGGUAACGGCUUACCUAGGCGACGAUCCCUAGCUGGUCUGAGAGGAUGACCAGCCACACUGGAACUGAGACACGGUCCAG